UGAUUGAACUUGAUGCGGUUCCCUCUCCCUCUUGGUUUAACUGACAUUUUUUCUCACAAUUUCUCUCACCUCAUCUCCCUCCUCAACAAAUUUUCUUGAAAUACACUUAAAAAACCGCAAAUUAUGUCGUAAUUUCGCGAAGAUUGUAGAGAUUUUGAGAAAUUUGGUCUCAAUUUUGGUACUUUUGUCCAUAUUAAGUUACAAAUUCACUCGAUUUUGUGCGAAAUCGAAUUAUGCGGCACUUAAUUCUUCAUGGAUCUGAGAAGUUGAUCUCAGACGCAGCUGGAUAUUAGUAGAGAGGAGGAUCACACAUCAUGGAUAAGUCUUCAUCAGAUCUUUCAAUCUGGUCAAUUUGCCAGGGGAUGUGUUGUACUUGAUCACGUCCUAAGGGGAUUUAAUAUAGCAAACAUUGCAAAUGCAGUCUUAGCAGCCAUGCUAUUUGAAGAGCUAAUUAAGAAUUUAUAGUCUGCUGAGUUCCUCUUUGCUUCUGUUUAAUUAUAUUUACUUAAUUACUUGUACCUUAUAAUCUGUAUAUUGUGUUGGUUAAGUUCUAAAACAGGCCAUAAUGUGUGCAGCAUAUUGCUAACCCUGCUGGAAGCAAGAAUUAGUGCUUCUGCUUCCUGUUUUUAUUGCCAUUAUUAAACUAACUGUUACACAGACUAACAAUGUGUUAAAGUAAAUAAAAAUUGAAAAAAAGUAACCCUAAUAUCUAUUAAAGUAGACUAACUGUUAAAGAGGUUGGCUUGUUAUAGCUCCUGCUUGUGUAGUCAUUUGAGAGUGAUGCAGGCUGUUGUUGUUUACAAUAUGUUCCUGCAUUUUAGCAGUUGGUUUUGGCUUGGUCUGACUGCAGGAUUCAGGUUCUAAGCUUGCAGUAUGUCUUAGGGUGUUGCGAUUGGGUUGUUGUUGUUGCAGGUUGUUAGUUAGUUAGGGGUUGCUAUAUUAUAGACUUGAAGUAAAUAAAAAUUGUACAAAAGUGAACUUAAUAUCUCUUAAAGUAAACUCACUCUCUUUAAAAGAAAACUAAGCCAGUUAGGGGUUGCUAGAUUAUAGACAUGAAAGUAAAUGAAAAUUGCACAAAAGUAAACAUAAUCUUUCUUAAAGUAGACUAAUUCUCUUUAAAAGAAAACUAAAUCAGUUAGGGUGUACUACAUUAUAGACUUUAAGUAAAUGACAAUUGUACAAAAGUAAACUUAAUCUCUCUUAAAGUAAAAUAGUCUUCAAAAGAAAACUAAAUCACUAGAUGAAUAAACCUUUAAAUAGUUCUUGCUAUAAAUUAUUUGUCUUAUGCAUUUUUGUGAUUGACUCAGAGAUUUUAUCUUAGUGUUUAGUAGUUGUGAUAUGAGUUUUUGCCUUUAAUUUUGUAUUUUUUGGGUAUGCUUUUUCAAUCAAUGAGGCAGAGUAUUCGCUUGUUUGGUUGUGUAAUUCAUGGUUUGAUCUUGGACGUUAUUUCGGGGAAGCAUAUGUUUGAGAAAUAAUGGAGUUAAACUGGAAAUAAUGCAAUGAGGCAAAUAUAUGCACAUAUGUAUGACAAUACCACUGAGUUAACAGACAACAAAACUAUAAGUUGUGAUGCUAAUUGCAAAAUGCAAUAUGAUGGGUACGGAGACCUAUUGGGGAUUCUAGCAGCACAUCUAGUCACACCUUUGGUCUCAAUCCACCACCUUGACGUGGUGCAGCCAAUAUUUCCAGGAAUGACACAACCCCAAGCAAUCUGUCACCUGUUUGAGUCGACCAACCAGGAUUCAGCUAGUAUAACGCCACAAUCCAUCUGCUAUGACAAGAACAAAUUCUAGUGUCUCCUGGGGAUUUCUUUCAGAUAAUGCACAAUAGAACAUCAUCCGUGUUUCGACUAGAAAACAAACAAUAACUAUAGGCUCAAAUGAUGUUGUUGUAGUCCACUAAGAAACUCUCAAACUGAGUACUCCAUAUAAGCUUGUCCAGCAUCACCUGACGCCUCUCGAUGUUAUAUUCCAUUGGCGUAGGGGUCUCAAUUCUGUCUCUCAACACAAAGCAAGAAAUUGUCCAUUGCUAUUAUUUUAUCUAGAUGUCAUUCAUUAACCAACAUUGUUCAUAAAAUCAUGUGUCAGCACAGAUAAAAGGAAAGAAGGAAUUUGUUCCAUACCAGCCUGCUGAUUAACAUUUCCUUUUGUUUCAGUCUCUUACAUUUGAAAAGUGUACUGAGUAUUACUUUUGUUACAAAAUUUUCUUAUUCCUUCUUUCGACAUUGUUGGUGGAGGACUCUGUGUAAAUAUAAUUGAUUGAAGCUCCCAUUUCCUUCAAGCUGUGCGUAGAUUACAAGUUACAACCUCAAGUUCAUAAUUUCAUAUGGUGUCGGUCAUUUAGGAAUUUGAACCGAGAUGCUGAUGAAGAAAUGCAAUUUCCCAUGAUGCCAUGUGCUACAGUUAGCUGUUUACUUUUAAAUUAGUUCCAUUUACUUUUUGUAGUUAUUUAUCUACUUUUGAAAAUGCGAUGCAACUUGAGAUUUGGUUUAUGUGAAUUACUUUAAAUCAUUACUUUUAAAUAAGUUCCAUUUACUUUUGAAUUAGUUCCGUUUACUUUUAGUUCAAUUGAUACAGGCUGUUGCAAGUUGGGGAUUGGUGUGGCUCAGAUGAGCACCUAGUUUUUGGUAUGGAUCAGUAGUAUGAACUUGAUAUACUUCAUAUCUGAUGCAGUCUAUGUAGAAGGUUGGCAUUGUGUUUUCGUUAUAAGGCUCGUUGCUCUUCUUGUGGUCAGGUUAUGGACAAUAUGAUUAGAUGAUAGAAAAGGCAGGUUCUGGUUGGGCUGAAGCUGAUUUUUUUGUUGUCUUAGUAGACCAAAGCUGACUCGUUGACUUUGUUGCAAGAUUAACCCCUGUAUGUAUCUAUCAGGUAUAAGCUCUGGAUCCCUAAUGAAUAUUGAUAUGCUAGGCUUUGGAUCAUGUUUUAUUGUCAAUCAAUGUGAAGAUGUUUUAAUAUUGUCUCCUUUGGAGCAUUAGCUUCUAUUGAUGUCCAUAGAUUCUUUCCGAUUGGAAUAUUAAAGUUUCCAUGUAUGGCAUGAGGUCAUUUGGAGUUGAGUA